CAGCCGGACGGCUUUGGGAGCAAAUGAGACGCUAGUUUUACACUUGUUACACCGGGCAACAGGUACAACGCGAGUUCAGCGAAUUGCUGUAAAAUACGGCUAGCACGCGCCACCGGCAAAAUAUAGGGGGCGUGUGCCGCCCUAGGGAUUUAACUCUAUAGAUUUACGACCAUUCGAUGUAGGGUUUUCGUAGGCGAAGAAGCCAGGAAAGGCAUUUCCGGCUAAGCCAAACGUCAGCGGUCACUCGAGCAUGACAAAUCGAAGGUUAUCCCAGCAUUUUUCCCAGACGCUUCAUUUGCCUGUCGCGACACACGCCACCCAGGAGGUCCACAUCCGCAGCUCGUCUCCUUUUCCCGGGCAGGGUGACAAACUUUCCCAAAACAUCCGAGUUUUCUCAAUUGAUUUUAAUGGCCCGCUUCACGCCGCGCAUUGGUCAAGGUCGAAACGAAUGGCAAACGCGUGUUUAGGUAGCGUGAAAAAUCGUUCGGAACGUGGCAGUGCGCUCAAGUCUGAGUUGCAGUUGAAGUUGAAGCUGGUGAUGAAGAUGAAGAUGGAGCUGAAGUGGCCGCCUCCUAGUUGCCAUUUGCAUACGACCUGCCCAAGGGCCCUCCACAUGCGGCCGCAUCUGAAGGGGGGCUCCCAGCCACGAACUCCCAUCUUCCAUCUCCGAUUCCCGCGUAUGGCAAUGAAAUUUAUGACACUUUCAUCACUUCACGCCGCCAACAUCACGCACACGGGCGGGCUGCACUUGCUCCAAAGCCCACGCUGCACGGAGAAAAAAGUUUGGCAUUUUGUUAUAUGUAUACUAUAUGUUUGGCAAAAUAUUCAAGGAACCUAGCAACGAGAGGUUUACUUUAAGAUAGUGGAAUCAAAAGUAGGCCUAAUAAAUAGUGUGCCUAAUAUAUCUGAUAAC
ensembl:ncRNA lncRNA:CR46446 long non-coding RNA:CR46446